CCUGCCACAGAAGGUGUGGCUGCUGGGUCACAUGUGUGUCAGUAGGUGGAAGAGAGGAGAGAGGCUACAUCUGUGCUCUGUGUUCUGACCUAGGAACAUGGGAAUGAUUAGUAGCCCAACAUU
rnacentral:snoRNA from 1 species